CACUGAUGACGCCUUUGUGAUGUCCCCAAAAGGUCUACAUACUGAUGACAGUUCUUCUCAAGCCAAAGAGCUUGUCAAAAGAAUUCUGGAACAAAAGCCUGGAGGGGAGAAAAUCCUUGCAAACUAUGCAAUGACAGGAGAGAUGAAGGACCGAGCACGCCGUGAUCUCGUCAGCAUCGUUGUUGCUGAAAUGUUUGAAAAGUAUGGACGUGCUCCCCCUAUGGAUAAAAGAGCACAGUAUGCAUUGGGGAUAGUAACACUGUUCCCCU